AAGUCGUAACAAGGUUUCCGUAGGUGAACCUGCGGAAGGAUCAUUAACACUUUAUUAUCCAAUAUCAACAAUAAACCAAACGGUGACUUAUCUUCUCCCUAUUUCGCCACCGGAGACGGUGCGAUUAGGCUAACAUUUUUUUCACAAAACAUUUUAACCCCAUUUAAUUUUAUAUGUGAAAAUACAUAUAAAACACCAACUCUUCGUUUUUGUUGUUUUUGUCAACGCAAAACACAAAUCACGAACUAAACUAAAAUAUACAUUCGAUAUAUUUUUAUUUUACGAAAUAAUAUAUAUUUAUAAGAACAACUCUUAGCAAUGGAUAUCUUGGUUCUC
rnacentral:misc_RNA from 1 species